GAGCCUGAGGCAGGGGAGGAGCCUGAGGCAUGGAAGGAGGAAACGUCUGAUAACGUGGAGGAUUUCUUUGUGAAAGAGGAGCCGAUAUCUUGGGAUGACAAUGAGGACUUGCCUGCUGAAGCUGACGUCUCUUCAGCAACCACCAACAAGCCACCAACGAAUUCUUCUGUCUUCCAUGAAACAACUUUUGCUUUCCCAAUGAAGCGCUACAUUCUUGCUAGGAGAGCCUUAGAAAAACGAGCCCGCAGGCCUUAUGCCUGUACAGAACUUGAGCAGCACGUACCUAAAUACCAGUUAAAUAAAGGUAGAGGCUUGCUACCUUGCGCCCACUGUCAAUAUUCAAGUCAAACUAUAACCUCAUUGAUUAAACAUAUCUCCAAUGAACAUCAAGAGGAAAAGGUUUUUCGAUGCCCCGAUUGUAAAUAUACGGCAAAGUUUUCCUCACGUCUCCAAAGACAUUUCCUUUCCAAGCACUCAACCACGAAGCAUUUCACUUGCCCUGACUGCGACUAUAUCACCUCAGGAACACACGACCUUCUCAUUCACUUUUCUUCCCAGCAUGGACCUCUUGAAAUUUUUAGAUGUCCUCUGUGUGAAUUUGUGUCAAAAUUUUCCUGUAACCUUAAGAGACAUUUCUAUUCAAAGCAUUCAACUGCAAAGCCUUUCACCUGCAGCGAGUGCGACUAUUCCUCAUCUAGAAAAGACGAACUUGUUGUCCACAUUUCUUCGCAUCAUGGACAGCAUAAAAUUUUAUGAUGUUUUAAGUGUAAAUUCUCCAGCAACUUAGAAGAGGAACUUAAACACCAUAUUCAGAGCAAGCAUUUGUUGAGCAGCAGAGGUGACUUGUCCACUCCUGAUGGAGGCGACGUCUCUGUAGCUGUCGACAAGCCACUAAUGGACUCCUCUGCAUCAUGUCAUGAGACGACGUUUCAUAUGGAGCACUCAGCAUCCAUUAGAAAUUCUUUGCCAUUAAAAGAAGCCCUAAAAACUGAUGUUGAAAAUGUUCCCCAUGUUGAAAAUGUUUCCUGUGUUGAAAUGCUCCUAGUGUUGAAAAUGUUCUCAGUGUUGAAACUAAACUACCACAACACUCGCUUCAACAUGAAUUGAUCAGAUGAAAGAUUCCUGUUCUAAUGCGACAAUUGAGAAUUUUCCAGCCAAAUGUAAAAGUUCUUGAUUCAGCAUAAUUCCCAUAAAUAUUUCGAGGCUCAUGUCUGUCUGCUCAUGUCUGUCUGCUCAUG